rnacentral:rRNA from 1 species
AUAUUGCGCAAUGGACGGAAGUCUGACGCAGCGACGCCGCGUGAGCGAUGAAGGUCUNNNGAUCGNACAGCUCUGUCCUUGGGNAAGNAGGGCUUCGGCCUUGACGGUACCCAAGAAGAAAGCCCCGGCUAACUACGUGCCAGCAGCCGCGGUAAUACGUAGGGGGCGAGCGUUGUCCGGAAUUACUGGGCGUAAAGGGUGCGUAGGCGGCCCUUUAAGUCAGAUGUGAAAGGCCACGGCUUAACCGUGGAACUGCAUUUGAAACUGGAGGGCUUGAGUGUCGGAGAGGGUAGUGGAAUUCCCAGUGUAGCGGUGAAAUGCGUAGAUAUAGGAAGGAACACCAGUGGCGAAGGCGACCACCUGGGCUAAUACUGACACUGAGGUGCGAAAGCGUGGGGAGCAAAC